rnacentral:rRNA from 1 species
GACGAACGCUGGCGGCGUGCUUAACACAUGCAAGUCGAACGGAAAGGCCCCUUUGGGGGUACUCGAGUGGCGAACGGGUGAGUAACACGUGAGUAACCUGCCCUUGACUUCGGGAUAACUUCAGGAAACUGGGGCUAAUACCGGAUAGGAAUCCUUGCUGCAUGGUGGGGGUUGGAAAGCUUCGGCGGUUUUGGAUGGACUCGCGGCUUAUCAGCUUGUUGAUGGGGUAGUGGCUUACCAAGGCUUUGACGGGUAGCCGGCCUGAGAGGGCGACCGGCCACAUUGGGACUGAGAUACGGCCCAGACUCCUACGGGAGGCAGCCGGGGGGAAUAUUGCACAGUGGGCGGAAGCCUGAUGCAGCAGCGCCGCGUGCGGGAUGACGGCCUUCGGGUUGUAAACCGCUUUCAGCAGGGGCGAGGCUUGUGGUGACGGUACCUGAAGAAGAAGCACCGGCUAACUACGUG